AAGACAACCUCGAAAGGACAACAGACGACCACAUAUGUGCACACCAUUUGACUCAUGCAAUUUAAAAGUUGUACCAAAUUCAGAAAUUGGCGAGAAAGUUGUUGCUUUCAUCCACAGCAACCAUGACAUCGUAUAUAAAGACACUAGGGAUGCCAUUCGACGUGUAAUAAAACCAAAUGAAAUUAGCAAUGUCGACAUUGAGUUACAAUUAAUUUCAUCCGAAAGUAAAGUUAAAAAUGUUCCAGUUCAAUAUAGAAAAUGUCGAUUUCCUGAUGAAAAUAAUUUAAAAUAUUUUAAAGUAGGUAUUUU